GUUCCUGUAGCUUACCCAAAGCAUG
rnacentral:tRNA from 1 species